rnacentral:lncRNA from 1 species
GCCAUUGGGAUCCAUUGGGGUCUGGUUUUCCUCCACUCUGCGUCUCCCCAGCACGAUGGCUGUGCUCAGCCCCAGUGGCUGUGCAAAGCUUCUGUGUGGAACGAGAUUUAAAGCAGCGCAGCAAAGAGGUGAUAGAAAAACCAAACUCUAUUAAAAACCCAUUUUCUGCAGGAGCUGCCUAUUGCUGUGGGAUGGGUGCAUGCUGGCAGCACCGAGAAUGUGCAGUGCUCGGCCCUGGAAACAAGGCUAUCCGUUUCAAUUAGAGCAAGCAGGAAAGCUGCUAUUAAGUGCUUCGUUAUUAUGGAAUCGCUUAUGAUGACACGGCUGUGGGCGUGCAGCUGCAUCAGCACCCCCCCUUCACCCAGGCCCAAAUCCGCUGCACCCCCAGCGCAGGGCACGGUGUGCCCAGCUGUCCCCAGCACAGGGCAGUGAGCUGCAGAGACAGUGAUGCACGUGGAACCCAUCCUCCACCACCACCAUCCCCGUGCCACCGUGGGAGCGCUGGGGACAGCGUGUCCCGUGCAAGCAAUCACGCUCAGCUCUGCUGUCAUUGCUGCUGCCUGAGCCCCGGCAAUGCUUAUGAAUAAAUGAAAGGAG